CUGGCUGCCGGAAAUGAUUGGCUUGCGGAAGGAGCCGUUCCAGAUCGCGGCUUUCCUGUGGGCAGAACCACUGAGGAGGGGGUCGGGCCUCCUUGCCCGUCUGUCGGGGCGGAGCCGGAGGGGCGGUUGAGUGGGAGAACUGUUUGGUGGGCGCGGGAACGAGCCCCGUAUGUCCGCCUAACUCCAGCGCGGGGCCCGAAUUGUGGGAGUGCUGGGAGCGCGGGGUUUCCCGGGGAGAGUUCUCUUCCGGCUCCGCGCGGAGAGCCUGGCCGGGGGCCGGGGGACUGACCCGCUGAGGACGUGAACGUUUUAGAGAUAUAGUGUAAUGAAGAGCCUCUGAAAAUGUAAACUCAAAUUGUGUUAUGCCUGAGCAGUUGAGAUGAAGAGAAUUAAAGCAGAAUUAAACAGUAAGUUGCAGGUGGUGAAAUUUGUGCAUUGCAAUACCAGUUAGAUAACUAUUUCAACUGUCUUGUUGGCUGAGGAAUAUGGCCUAAACCCCAUUUUACAGGUGAGGAGCUAGACUUGGAAGGAUAAGUUGCCUAAAGCUGCAUAGCUGUGCCUAGGCUCAUCCCCAAUCCUGAAUACUUUAUCUCUAAGUUUAUUGACUUUCCCACCUAAUCAACCUGGUUUUCAAUUAUAAUGUCUAUGUAUGACUUGUACUAUGUAUGUAUGACCUCUAUAGUUCAUUUACUGAGCAAAUAAUUAGUGAAUAGCCACAGUGUCUAGAACACAGAACACUGCGCUUAGAUGCUAGAAGUUCUGACCCUCAGCUAAUGCUCUGGUAGGGGAGAUAAUAACCAAUUAAAGAAAUACAUCCUCUAAUUUUAGAUAUUGACAUAUGCUAUUUUUUAAAAAAAUAGGCAAACAGAGUGUAGGGAAUGGUGGUGGGAGGCAGGAACUGUCUUGAGCAGAAACCUUAAAGAAGAGAGCAAGUGGGGUUUAAGAAAAAGCAAGAGCAACUGGAAAGAUGGAGUUGCCAUUUACUGAGUUGAAAUAACACUGUGGAAGGACCAGGUUUUAGGGCUAAGAUUGCGAAUUCAGCUUCUGAUGUUUUAGAUGUUUGUCAGACACCCAAUUGGACAUAUGGUAUUUAAAUCCAUGAGGUCUGAUUAUGAUCUGACCAAAGCAAUGGGUGUAGGAAGAGGACCAAAGACUGAUUGAUCCCUAGGAUACUUUAAUGUUUAGAAUUCAAGGAGAUGAGCAGGAACCAGGAAGGAAGAUUGAAAAGGAGAGUUCAGUAUGUUAGAAGGAAAACCAGGAGAGUAUAUAGCCUUAGAAGACAAUUGAAGAAAGUGUUUUGUGGAAAAAGAGGUAAUUGACAACAUACCAAAUGAAAACAGACUGGCCCAUAUGUAAAAGAAUAAAAAUAAAACCUUUCAAUACAAAUAUACUGGCUGUUACUACAGAAACAAUUUUUCCUCUUAUUUGAGGAAGUGUACAUUUUUACAACCUUCUUGAAGGGCAGUUUGAUGUUAUAAAAAAUUUUAAUGUGUGCUUCCUUGACCAAGUAAUUUUACUUCUAGGAGUUUAAUCCUACAGAAAUAUUUAUACAUGUACAUAAAGUUGUAUGUAUAAAGAUGUUUAUCACAGCACUGUUUAUAAUUACAUACAAAUUUCCAUCAAGACAGAUGUAGUUUUAAAGGGAGGAUGUAAAUGUGUAUGUAUGAAAGAUAGCAGCUAUAGACUGAAUUUUGUCUCCCCAAAUUCAUAUGUUGAAACCCUAACCCUCAACAUGAUGGUAUUUGGAGAGGGGACUUUUAGGGGAGAAUUAGGUUUAGAUAAAGUCAUGAGAGUGGUGCUACCAUAAAGGGAUUAGUGUUUUAUAAGAAGAGGAAGAGAGACCUGAGCCCUCUUCUCUAUGCCGUUAUGAGGACUCUACAAGCCAGGAAACAGGUGCUUAACAGGCAAUGAAUUGACUGGCACCUUGAUCCUGGAGUUCUUAGCCUCUAGAACUGUAAGAAAUAAAUGUGUUUAAGCCAUCCUAUGGUAAUUUGCUAUAGUAUUCCUAGCUGACUAAGAUAGCCAUGUUAAAUGAUAAUUAUCUAAUAGAAUAUAUAGUAUAAUCUCAUUUAUCUUAAUAUAUCCAUAGUAGACCUGUUUAAUCACACUAUCAAAAGUUAUUCCCUUAUUUACCUUCCCUGAUCACUGUUACAUUACCUUUUCCUAUCUGUAGCACUUACUACUAUCUGUAUUUUAUUAAUUUUUAUAAUUGUUUACUGUCUUUCUUGUCAUAGUAGAAGAUAACUUCUAUAAGAUUUUUGCCUCUUAUAUUUCUAUCCCCAGGACUGGGGUAUAUAAUUUUUAAAAACAUUGUUUUAGGGAAAAAGCCCAAAUACACAAUAUUCCUAUAGUGGUUUUAAAAUGAGGUUACAAAUCUUUCAUAUUCUUUAUUCAAAGAGUGGUGGCUGACUCCAUCUUGAGUAUGGGCUAGACUUAAUGACUAGCUUUUGAUGAGUAGAAUAUAGUGCAAGUGGAGGUAUGUUGAUAGAUGAUAAAAGGCGUCGUGGCUUCCUCCUUACUCCCUCUCUUGGAUUGUUCAUUCAGGUAAGCCAGCUGCCCUGUCAUGAGAACAUAUCAAGCAGUGCUUUGGAGAGGCCCUGUGGUGAAAAAACAGGCCUACUUUCAACAGCCAGCGGAGGAAACUGAGGCUUCCUUCCAACGGUCAUGGGAGAAGCCAUCUUAAAAACAUUUUUUUUUUCAUUCCCAUUCAAGCCUUUAGAUAAAUGCUCCUCCAGGUGACAGCUUGACAGCAAUGUACAGGAUACCAUCGGCCAAAUCACUCAAGUAAACUACUCUCAAAAUCCUGUUAGAUUAUACAUGUUUUAUUUUUAAGUCGCUGUGCUUUUGGUGUAAUAUUAUAGGCAGUAAUAAAUACAAUUCUAUGUAAAUACUA